rnacentral:rRNA from 1 species
GGUUAAGUUAGAAAGGGCGCACGGUGGAUGCCUUGGCACUAGGAGCCGAAGAAGGACGGGACUAACACCGAUAUGCUUUGGGGAGCUGUACGUAAGCGUUGAUCCAGAGAUUUCCGAAUGGGGGAACCCACUAUCUUUAGUCGGAUAGUAUCCUUACGUGAAUACAUAGCGUGAGGAAGGCAGACCCAGGGAACUGAAACAUCUAAGUACCUGGAGGAAGAGAAAGAAAAAUCGAUUUCCUGAGUAGCGGCGAGCGAAACGGAAAGAGCCCAAACCAAGAAGCUUGCUUCUUGGGGUUGUAGGACACUCUAUACGGAGUUACAAAAGAAAGUUAUAAAUGAAGCGGUCUGGAAAGGCCCGCCAAAGACGGUAACAGCCCGGUAGUUGAAAUGGCUUUCCCUCCAGAGUGGAUCCUGAGUACGGCGGAACACGUGAAAUUCCGUCGGAAUCCGGGAGGACCAUCUCCCAAGGCUAAAUACUCCCUAGUGACCGAUAGUGAACCAGUACCGUGAGGGAAAGGUGAAAAGCACCCCGGAAGGGGAGUGAAACAGUUCCUGAAACCGUGUGCCUACAAGUAGUUAGAGCCCGUUAAUGGGUGAUAGCGUGCCUUUUGUAGAAUGAACCGGCGAGUUACGAUUUGUUGCAAGGUUAAGCGGAAAAAGCGGAGCCGUAGCGAAAGCGAGUCUGAAUAGGGCGCAUAAGUAACAGGUCGUAGACCCGAAACCAGGUGAUCUACCCAUGUCCAGGAUGAAGGUAAGGUAAUACUUACUGGAGGUCCGAACCCACGCACGUUGAAAAGUGCGGGGAUGAGGUGUGGGUAGCGGAGAAAUUCCAAUCGAACUUGGAGAUAGCUGGUUCUCUCCGAAAUAGCUUUAGGGCUAGCCUCGAGGUAAAGAGUCAUGGAGGUAGAGCACUGUUUGGACUAGGGGCCCUUCUCGGGUUACCGAAUUCAGAUAAACUCCGAAUGCCAUGUACUUAUACUCGGGAGUCAGACUGCGAGUGAUAAGAUCCGUAGUCGAAAGGGAAACAGCCCAGACCACCAGUUAAGGUCCCCAAAUAUAUGUUAAGUGGAAAAGGAUGUGGGGUUGCUUAGACAACCAGGAUGUUGGCUUAGAAGCAGCCACCAUUGAAAGAGUGCGUAAUAGCUCACUGGUCGAGUGACCCCGCGCCGAAAAUGUACCGGGGCUAAACAUAUUACCGAAACUGUGGAUGAACCUCUUUAGAGGUUCGUGGUAGGAGAGCGUUCUAAGGGCGGUGAAGUCAGACCGGAAGGACUGGUGGAGCGCUUAGAAGUGAGAAUGCCGGUAUGAGUAGCGAAAGAAGGGUGAGAAUCCCUUCCACCGAAUAUCUAAGGUUUCCUGAGGAAGGCUCGUCCGCUCAGGGUUAGUCGGGACCUAAGCCGAGGCCGAUAGGCGUAGGCGAUGGACAACAGGUAGAGAUUCCUGUACCAGUGCUAAUUGUUUAACCGAUGGGGUGACACAGAAGGAUAGGGAAUCGCACGAAUGGAAAUGUGCGUCCAAGCAGUGAGUGUGAGAAGUAGGCAAAUCCGCUUCUCGCGAAGCAUGAGCUGUGAUGGGGAAGGAAAUUAAGUACGGAAGUUCCUGAUUUCACGCUGUCAAGAAAAGCCUCUAGGAAGAGUAGUACUGCCCGUACCGCAAACCGACACAGGUAGAUGAGGAGAGAAUCCUAAGGUGAGCGAGAGAACUCUCGUUAAGGAACUCGGCAAAAUGACCCCGUAACUUCGGGAGAAGGGGUGCUCUAUUAGGGUGCAAGCCCGAGAGAGCCGCAGUGAAUAGGCCCAGGCGACUGUUUAGCAAAAACACAGGUCUCUGCAAAACCGUAAGGUGACGUAUAGGGGCUGACGCCUGCCCGGUGCUGGAAGGUUAAGAGGAGUGCUUAGCUUCGGCGAAGGUACGAAUUGAAGCCCCAGUAAACGGCGGCCGUAACUAUAACGGUCCUAAGGUAGCGAAAUUCCUUGUCGGGUAAGUUCCGACCCGCACGAAAGGCGCAACGAUCUGGGCACUGUCUCAACGAGAGACUCGGUGAAAUUAUAGUACCUGUGAAGAUGCAGGUUACCCGCGACAGGACGGAAAGACCCCGUGGAGCUUUACUGCAACCUGAUAUGGAAUGUUUGUACCGCUUGUACAGGAUAGGUAGGAGCCGAAGAGACGUGUGCGCUAGCAUACGAGGAGGC